rnacentral:rRNA from 1 species
UACGUAGGGGGCGAGCGUUAUCCAGAUUUACUGGGCGUAAAGCGCGUGUAGGCGGCUGGUUAGGUGUGAUGUGAAAUCCUCGGGCUCAACCCGAGAACUGCAUUGCAAACCGGCCUGGCUAGAGUGCAGGAGAGGGAAGCGGAAUUCCAGGUGUAGCGGUGAAAUGCGUAGAUAUCGGGAGGAACACCUGUGGCGAAGGCGGCCAUCUGGACAACUACUGACACUGAGACGCGAAAGCGUGGGUAGCAAACAGGG